rnacentral:rRNA from 1 species
GAUUUUAUUAAUGAUUAUUUUUUUGUUUAUGAUAUAAUUAUUUAGUAUGAUGAGUGAGGGAUGAGAUUAGUUUAUAGUGUAUGAGUACCGUGUGGGGAUUAUUUUAUUUUAGUGGAAUAUUAGGUUUUUUAUUACCUUUUGUAUUAGGGUUCUUUAAUGUUUUUGAAUAUUGAUUUUUUCUCGAUAAAUAUCGGGCUAUUUGAUUUGAUUGGUUUAAUUCGUUGUAUAGAAUUUGCUAAGAUCGUAUAGUUAUGAAAUAUUAUUCAAGUUAUUUUUUAUCUGGUUUUCUUAGAAGUAUAAUGGAGUGUAUAAUUAUGGGGGAGUUAGGCAGGGAUUAGCUUGUUUAAUUUGUAUAUGAUAUUAUUUUUAUAUUUUGUUUGUGGAGUUGAAAGUUUUUAUUUUUAUUGUGUUAUUACUAGACAGGUUUUUUUAGUUAUUUUUUUAUUUUAUGUUAGAAUUUGAAGUUUGGGAUUAAUUUACCUUCUUAUGGUAUAAUGAUGAAAUUAGUAAUAUUAUAUUUGGAAUUUUGGUUUUAGAUGAUAGUUUGAUUUUUUAAGAUUAGUUAAUUUAUAAUAAAUAAUUAGGCAAUAUCAACUUUUGACUGUUUAGCAAAGACAUUGUUUUUUGUUAGAAUAAAAAAUAAGUUCUGCCCACUGCUGUAAUGGUGAAGGGCUGCAGUAUUUUGACUGUAUGAAGGUAGCAUAAUCAUUAGCUUUUUAAUUGGAAGCUGGUAUGAAGGGGAAACAGGGGUUGGCUGUUUUAUUUUUAUUAAAUGAAUUUUAUUUUUAUGUGAAAAAUCGUAGUUGUAUUUAAGGGACAAGAAGACCCUAGUAAGUUUUAUUUCUUUAGUUUUGAUGAGCAUAAAGGAUUUAUUUAUAAUUGGUGUUAUUUUUAAUAUGGGGGUUUGAUUGGGGCGAUAUGUUAGUUAACUGAAUAUAUUAUUUAACUUUUAAUAAGACGUUAUUUGGACCUAUUGGGUUUAGUUGAAUGUUUAAUUACUGUAGGGAUAACAGCGUAAUUUUUUUUUAGAGUUCUUAUUGACGGGAAA